CGUCCAUCUAUCUUUUUCACUUCUUUUCAUUUAUGAUUCACUUUUGUUUUUCCCCUUUUACAUAUUGCAAGUGAAACAAGUAGAUAAGCUUCAGCAUCACUGUUAGUGAAACUUUAAUUGGAUAAUGAUUUACAAUAAAACAUUUUUUUUAUAUAAUUAUUGGUGGUAAUAAGGGAAUUUUGAUAAUGUAAGUGAGCUUGAUCUGAAAUUCCACACAUUUAGUAUCUGGAAGUUUGGCUGCAUCUAGUUCGAAACUAAUUUUGUUUGACAAACCAAAUUUAGUUUAACAUAACAUUAUUGUUUUAAGUUGAAACAAGGCUACGAUGACAUAUGUGGGAUGAAUUUUGUGAAAAUGGUUGUAAUAUUUCCAAGAAGUUGUACAAUAAAUUAAAUUGCCGUCAGUUAAGCCACUUAGGUUUGGAAGUUAAGGAAGAUAUUUCUCUCUCUAUCUCACUUGGGGGGAAUGGGGUUGGAGGUGGAGAGACCACAAGGAAAUAUUCGUGAAAUGGGAAGAGCAUACUUUUAUUGUGUAUGAUUUCUGCAGAUUCCUGUGUAUGCAACAGACGUUGGAGGAAAAGUUUCUGGAAAUAUUAUCUUUUCAAAACCAUAACUUAAAUCAGGAUGCUAAUACAGAUGAGAUGACCGCCAAAACUGAAAUUGGCUGCUGGCAAUGAGAUCAUCUACAGUUGACAUUUUGCCUAAUAUCAUAAGUUCAACUUCCUUGCAGGGGCAACCAAAUCGGUCUAUG
rnacentral:misc_RNA from 1 species